AUACUACUCUUUCCGUCCAACAAAAGAUGUCUCAAGUUUGUCAAAAAUUGAAUGUAUCUAGACAUAACUUAGUGUAUAGAUGCAUUUAAAUUUAGUUAAGGUUGAGACAUCCUUUGUUGGACGAAGAAAGUACUAA
rfam:Brachypodium distachyon strain Bd21 chromosome 3, whole genome shotgun sequence.